rnacentral:rRNA from 1 species
ACGAACGCUGGCGGCGUGCUUAACACAUGCAAGUCGAACGAAGAGCGAUGGAAGCUUGCUUCUAUCAAUCUUAGUGGCGAACGGGUGAGUAACGCGUAAUCAACCUGCCCUUCAGAGGGGGACAACAGUUGGAAACGACUGCUAAUACCGCAUACGAUCUAAUCUCGGCAUCGAGGAUAGAUGAAAGGUGGCCUCUACAUGUAAGCUAUCACUGAAGGAGGGGAUUGCGUCUGAUUAGCUAGUUGGAGGGGUAACGGCCCACCAAGGCGAUGAUCAGUAGCCGGUCUGAGAGGAUGAACGGCCACAUUGGGACUGAGACACGGCCCAGACUCCUACGGGAGGCAGCAGUGGGGAAUCUUCCGCAACGGACGAAAGUCUGACGGAGCAACGCCGCGUGAGUGAUGACGGCCUUCGGGUUGUAAAGCUCUGUUAAUCGGGACGAAAGGCCUUCUUGCGAAUAGUGAGAAGGAUUGACGGUACCGGAAUAGAAAGCCACGGCUAACUACGUG